UUACUUCAGCAGCACAUUUACUAAAAUUAGAACGAUGGAGAGAAGAGUAGCAUGGCCCCUG
rnacentral:snRNA from 1 species